rnacentral:lncRNA from 12 species
CCGAGAUGGCAUAUUUUCUGCAUCUCCAGAAGCCUACACCCCACUUGGGGAGCUUCAUUUAUAUGCGCAUCGGAUGCCGUCUGACUGCCUCGGACUGUACCUUUGAGCAGAUCCGAUGGGAUCCCCACAUGCAUGUAAAUGAAGCUCCCUUAGCCCGAGCCCCGCUCCAAAGAGGCAAAGAGCAGGCUUCUCUUGAAACUUGUUACCGCGACAAUCUCAAACCAGACACUACAAUAAGGAUUUUUUUUUCUUUUUUCCCUUUUGCUCGUGUGUGUGCCAGGAGGACGCCACGUAACCUGGUUUUCCAGACCGAGGAAAAUCAAACCCCGCAAGUGGGUGGGCGAGCUGACUUUUCCGUCUGCAAUCCUCGCUUUUGCUCAGAGGCCGUGUGCCCCCCUCCCUCUGCCCUCAGUCGUGUGCUCCAGGUAACUCUGCGUGUGUAUCUGUGUUGUUGUCAAAGUAUCGGUUUGAGAUUUUUGAUUGUUUGACGUUGAAUGGGGGAAGUGAAGAAAUUUCGACAAUCUUUGAUAAUUAUGGUUUUGAGUCACAAAUUAGUGACACCCGAGGAACUCUAGAUUAGAGCUGUUAUUUUGAAGGUGUGGAGCAAUCUAGAAUUCCGAUACAACCAAAUGUUCUCUUAACAUCAUCUGUUGGCCACUUUUCUGGGAAUGAUAGCUGUCUGCGCACAAGCUCACAGGCUUGUAUACCCAGCUCUCUAGACCCUAUUUCUACUCUCAUCUCUCCCCCCUAAUCCCCCUUACACGCUUGUGUGCUCUCUCUCUCUCUCUCUCACACACACACACAUGCACACACACACACACACACACACAGAAUUCAUUAGUCAGAAGUCUCUGGAAGGCUUCAUGCUAGGUUCAGGAAUGAGUCGAACAGUGUUAUUUCCAAUAGGCACAGAACUGAAUCUUUAAUGAUUUUAACUUCUAGUUGGAGUAAUAAAAGGGUUGUUCCGGAUCA